AAGCUUAGAAAGUGAUCAACGAUUAAACGGCGUGAUUAAACGGCGUUGUCGAGGCAUUCAGUAACGCCGGGAUCGGCAUCACGGGCCAUGUCUGGCCCCUCCCCGGGGGCGGCGGACGCACUUUUUGAAAGAGUUUAGGAGGUGAUCAAUGGUGAAAUGCGCCCUUUAAAAAAAAACAAUGAAGUUGAAAAGAAUCCUCAAGAGAGUCUCUCCAGACCCUCCUGAGAAUCUGGCUCCACUUGCAGGUUGAAUACAGGUACUGUAUUCAAGUCAAUGGAGCCCAGCUUUCUAAUCACAAUGUGAUUAAAAAACAAAAAAAAUGUGCUAACAUUUAAAAAUAAUUAUGCAGUGAUGUCACCAGAGGACCCAUCCAGUACCACCAAAA